rnacentral:tRNA from 1 species
ACUUGAAUAUCUUAUAUUAGAGUAUGACACUGAAGAUGUCAUUGAGGUUAGUUUUGCCUUCAGGUG